GUGCUAAGGUAGCAUAAUCAUUUGUUUCUUAAUUGGUAGCCGGAAUGAACGGCUGAACUGGCUUAGUAAGUGUGUGUGUUUAAAUAGAAGGUUAAAGUCGAGGUAAGAAUUCUUUGAUGUGUUAGGGGACGAUAAGACCCUACAAGCUUAAUAAGCAUAACCUUGGUUUUGUUUUUCAAUCUAGCUUAUUUUACUGGGGCGGUACUAGUGUUUUAACUAUUAGUUGACUUAAGAUCCUUAAAAUGUAGACGAAACGUAAAAGUUACUUUAGGGUUAACAGUGCGAUAUUUUUGGAGAGAUCUUAUCGAUAAAUAUGUUUGCAACCUCGAUGUUGAAUUA
rnacentral:rRNA from 1 species